rnacentral:rRNA from 1 species
CGCGUAGGCGGUCUGUUAAGUAUGAAGUGAAAUCUCCAGGGCUCAACCCGGAAACCGCUUUGUAAACUGGCAGACUGGAGGAAGGCAGAGGUGAGUGGAAUUCCCGGUGUAGCGGUGACAUGCAUUGAUAUCGGGAGGAACACCCAUGGCGAAGGCAGCUCACUGGGCCUUUCCUGACGCUGAGGCGCGAAAGCGUGGGUAGCAAACAGAAUUAGAUACUCUGGUAGUCCACGCCCUAAACGAUGGAUGCUAGGCGUGAGGGGUAUCGACCCCCCUUGUGCCGCAGCUAACGCAUUAAGCAUCCCGCCUGGGGAGUACGGCCGCAAGGUUGAA